GUCUCACCUCGAACUACGUAGUGUUUAUGCAAGAAUCUAGGUACUCGUGACUCUCUUCUGUUUGUAUAUGCUGCUUAUCUGCAUGUCCGCAUUAUACAUCCAAAUGUCUUAAUGUACACACUUUCUCUUUUGUUUUUUUAUAACAUCCAUGUACACACUUUAUUCAGAGUAGUAGCAGUCUUUAUGUGAUUACUUUUACAUCAAAAUGUAUGUCACGGUCUUCCAUUAAAUGCUUCAUCUUACUUACUCAGCAAGUUGAUUACAUCAGAUAAUAAUGGUACAUUGUUCUCGUGAUUUUGCAGG